rnacentral:lncRNA from 1 species
UUAUUUGUAACAGUCAAAAAGUGGAAACAGCCCCAAGUCCAUCAACAAGAGAGAGGGUAGCGUGGUCUACCCUCAUCACAGAUAAUGCUCAGUUGUGAGAUGACCAACGACUGACACAAGAAGCAGCGUGAGGAUCGCAAAACAUUUUGCUGAGGGAAAGCAGUCAGACACCAAGGAGCGUGUGCUGUGUGCUUCCACACCUGUGAGGUCCUAGAACAGGUUUGUUGCAGUGUGGGACCUGAAACCAAAUCAACGGACUUUUUGUGCUCUGUCCAUCUGUGAGAGAAUGAGGAUGAAGAAGACAAACAACACUGUGGUGUUAUUACCAAUCUAGGUUUGGCCUCACAGACCCUGAAAGGACCUCAGGAACCCUGCGGUCCCCAGACCACACUUUGAGAACCGCUGUGCUGUCAUCAGGGCCUGUCCGGAGCCCCCAGAGCUCUCUGUGAGACCUCCCUCGGUGUCGGCUGUCUGGAGGGGUCGUGGGCCCGAACCCCUGGCCUCCUGGACAUUUUGAAGGUGAGCCAGCACCCACCUCCCAUGUCCCCAGGCUCCCAGCGCCCCACACAGCCCCCACAGUGGAAGGCAGACCCCUGAGCUCCAUUUUGCAGGUGAAGAAUGAAAGAGGAUUGGGAGAGGGUGAGGCCCCGAAAGUCACGCCAUGACUCCCGGGGCUGCGGAGCACCACAGGGCGGGGCCUGGUGGGCCCAGGGGGUCUGGGUGUGGGUCUCUGCGACUUACGGAUGCUGGGCUACAUCGGGCUGUCCCCAAGGACCCUUGUGUAGCCGGGAGGAUGGUAGCUUGCUGCAUGUCCUGGUCCCUCGUCACCGAGCUCACCAGCAUGGCCUCUGAAGGGUCUGCAGGCCAUGCACCCCAGCUGGCUCCCAGGUGGGUCCUUGAGUCCCCCCAGGUGCAGCACGCCUGGGGGAGAGGAACGCAGGGAGGGGGUGCUCAGGG